GGGAAGAGGCUGGCAUAGAGUUCCCAGGGGGUACCCAGCAGACAGACAGCUCUGUAAUUUGGGGGAGAAGAAGAGUUGUCCUUUUUGUGUACUGGAUAGGCUGUGCUCUGAGCCCGUUCCAUGAAUUAAGAUCACUCAGUUACUUUGCAAGGAAGGAGUCCAGAACAUCAACCAGAAGAGGGUAUAAAUAAUUCUGGAGGGAAAAGAGCAUCUUUCCAGGAACCUCUGCAUCUGAAGCUAGGGAUUGAUUGCUGGCCUGCUGUGACCACCCACCUUGAGACCACAGACCUGCUACCUGCUGUGCUCAUCAAUUGCUGCCUGAAUCCUGUGCCGGCUAGGCAAUCUCGUGACUGUUGUAAAAGGGACAUUCCAAGCGUAUGUGAUACAUGCUCUUUGACAGUGUAUAACCACUCUGUACACCCCCACUUCUUUGGAGUGCGCCAUUCCUUUGUGAAAGGACUCUACCAAGAGUCUAUAUGGUCCUCAGACCUGGCUCAUAAUAAA
rnacentral:lncRNA from 1 species